ACCAGGGAGGCAGCAGGGGGAAUCUUCUACGGGAGGCAGCAGUGGGGAAUAUUGGGCAAUGGCCGAAAGGCUGACCCAGCAACGCCGCGUGGUGGAUGAAGCCCUUCGGGGUGUAAACACC
rnacentral:rRNA from 1 species